rnacentral:rRNA from 1 species
CUGAACCAGCCAAGUAGCGUGAAGGAUGACUGCCCUAUGGGUUGUAAACUUCUUUUAUACGGGAAUAAAGUGAGGCGCGUGUGCCUUUUUGUAUGUACCGUAUGAAUAAGGAUCGGCUAACUCCGUGCCAGCAGCCGCGGUAAUACGGAGGAUCCGAGCGUUACCCGGAUUUAUUGGGUUUAAAGGGAGCGUAGGCGGACGCUUAAGUCAGUUGUGAAAGUUUGCGG